rnacentral:sRNA from 1 species
AAUGGAAAUUCUAAUGGAAAAUUUAAUUGAAACUGUAAAGAGGUGAUUUUGCAGUUUACAUGGAAUCGAUGAUGACUUUCCGCGAGAUCCCAAAACAAACAAAAAAAAACAGGUCAUUUUAGUACAAACUAAUAACCUUUCUUUCAACUAAGAGAGAGAGAUCAACUAAAAAUUCUUCAGAUGUUAGACAUUGAUGUAAUGUUUCCACCAGUAAAAAUGUAAGGAGUGUGAACAUGAUUCAUUAACUUGAGAGGAGAACGCCGAAUGGGCAUGUAGUAAAACACAACAACUGGAUAUAAGAAGAACAAACUAUGAAUAAGUCUCAACAUAUCUCAUUUUCAACACGACAAGUCUAUAACAAAUUCAUUCCUUCCGAUAUACUCAUAUUGUUCCCAAAAGAUAUUGAAAAUGUAUACAGCUUCAAAGUGUCGCAUUUAUUGCACGUGCCUUGGAAAAUCAUUCAAUAAUGGGAAGUUCUGUUAAUUAUUCGAUAUUGCAAACAACUUUACCUUUGGAUUUAUGAGUCUAAACAUGAGAAUGCUACCCCUAAGGGUUUGACGAUAAUAUAGAAAAGAUAUAUACGUUGAAUUAAACACAAUUUUCGAGAAAUAUUGUUAAUAUUAUAUAUUGAGAAGUUAUUCUUGUUAUUUGUUUAAACUGUUUAAUUUUAUUUAAAAGUAGUAUCUGAAGCCAUAUUAAUUUAAUUUUUUGACAAAGUUUAAUAUAAAUGAUGUAUAAUUUAGAAUAA